GCAGUCCAGUCAGAGAAAGGUGAACAACACUGGAAAAUAGUAUCAGCAUAGUAUUAACAUGCAGGCAUCGCUAAAAAUGAAGCCCAUUCAAUUUUAUUUUAAGCGAAAAAGACACGAGGAGAAAGAGGAAUCCGGCGAAGGGGGAUUCGCAAGGUUCAACUAAUGAAGCCUCUUCACAAGGUUUACCUGAGGAGGCUAAUGUUGACAUGGUGGCUAACGUUAGCGAAGCUACCGUGACCCCCGGGGUCACUAGCCGGAGGAGGGAGAACAUAUAGAUUCAAUGCGAAUUGGCUCAAAAUGUUCCCAUCGCUAGAGUUUAAAAACAACGUCAUGUUCUGCAAAUAUUGUACAGGGCAGAAACAGGCGGGCAACUUGUCCUUCGUGUCAGGAAGCCCGCAUCUGAAAAGCGAUAGCGUAGCGAAACAUAACAUCUCGCGGCGGCAUAUCCAGUGCAGAGAUCUGUACCUGUUGAGACAAGAGAAACCAAUCAGGCACGGUGUCAGCAGCCUUGAGGAGGCAAGUGCUGCUGUCUGAAGAGGAGAAGAGGAUGCAACUGAAAAUAAACAUUGCAUACUUCAUUGCGAAAGAAGAACCUUUCGUCAAAUUUAGGCUGCUUAGACUCCACCACAAAAACGGAGUUGACAAUGAUGUAAGACGUGCGGAGAUGAUCGGUCAAAUUGCUGACAUAAUGAGAGAGCCUGUCAGCGAAGCUGAAAGCCGCGAAGUAUCCUGCCGUUCUAAUAGACGGAGACACUGAUAUCCAAAACCGAAUGCGAGAUUGUCUACAUACGCUUGUUGAAGGAUGGGAAGCCAGUCAAUCUCCUGGUCGGACAACAGACCCUUGAGCACUCUCAUGCCAUUAGUAAAUUGUUCCUCUUUAUAGGCUUUAUUCUUGUGUAAAGUUGAAUCAUUAUUCAUAAUGGAGAUAAUUUAGUUUGUCAGAAAUACUUUUGUAUAAUUGUUUUUUUGUGUUGUCAUUCGAGGUGUUUUGGAUGCCACAAAGGCCACAUUUCGUGCUGUUCGCCCAGAGGAGGAUCAUGGAUGAAGAAGUGCAUCUCCUUCGGGGAAGAUGGUGCCGCUGUGAACAUGGGCCACGGUGGGGGAGUAAUUGCCCACCUGCAGAGAGAGGCAGGGCGCAUAUAAUCCCAAUCCACUGUAUGCCACGUAGGUUUGUAACUAAUAAAUUCUCUAUGAUUUAGUUUUAUUUGCUAGCAGAGAAUGUUAAACAAUACUGUCUGUGUGCGUGCGCUAACUGCUGGAAUGGUAAAUACCACAGAAUUAUUGUUUUCUGUUGGCACAAGAGACAGGGGGGAAGGAGACUGAAUUGUUUGGAAGAUUCUGUUCCGACUUACAGACUAGAGCUGGCAAUACUGACCAUUCAGAAGAAAGAGCCAAAGGUGUCUGUCGUGUACGAUCUUCUGAAUCUGAUAUGGAAGACGAAUCACUUCAGCGGAAAAUCCAAACGAGAGCUCAAUGUUCUCGCGCAAGAGUUCGGUGUGGAUAUUUGCACACCGUCUAGCGUCAAGGGAACUCGCUGGAUCCCCCAUGUCCACAGAGCCCUCAAAGUGUUCCUACGGCAUGGACAAGACAAGGACCUUGCCACUGACAAAGGCCAGUUGUUCUGCAGCACAUGGAGCACCUGGCCGUGGCAUCAACAACAGCGGAAGUUCAAGGACGGACAAAGAUGACAUAUUUGAGGAGCUAUCCGCACUUAGCCUCACCCUCCAAAGGAAUGACCUGAUCCUCCCCCAAGCCACAUCAGAGUGGAGGAAGACAGUGACCAGACUGGAAGCACUAAAGCUUAGGGCAAAGGCAGGAGGCAUGCUGGAGAAGAUCCAGACCAUGCUUGCUUAGCAGCAGGGUGAUGAGAAGAGAUUCCAGGUGUGUUAGGAUGAGGGCUUGUUAGGAUGUAAGAGAAAUUGAUGAUUAAAAUCGAUGAUUAAGACAGAUUCUCAGUGUGAGAAUCAAUGUAUUCGUUGCCCAAUAGAACAAUUUGACGAUAAGGAGGGAAAUGCAGUAGAGAAGUCUUUACAUUUAUUUUAAUGGGAGACAGACAAAUGGCCAGACAUUUCAUUGUGUGUCUCUGUGUGUGUAUGCGUGUUAUUUCUGUUAAAAUGGAAUAACACUAAAUGGGAAUCUGAAAGGCUUCACGGACCUCACCAAUCCCCAGCUGAAGCAGCACAUGGAGGCGGCCAUCAACAUGGAUAAUCUCAAAGCCAGGUUUGGUGGUUUGCUGAAAGAUGAGGGUGUCCAGACCCCAGUGGAGUCUUUCAGAGUGCUAAACUGACACAUGACCAGAAGACCAGGCCAGCCUUCUCACCUUUGGCGAUGAUGGUGUGGCAUACCUGAUGAGGCAUUUCAAGGAGCCUCUAGAGAGAUCAGGGUGCAACAUGGCUGCAAUCCAGGAUGAGUGGCAGGGGCUGAAAAUCCUGGUCAGCCACAAUUUCAAGGACAAAUCCUACAGUGGCCUGUGGGAGACCAUGUUGACAAAGGAUACCUACAGGCACGAUUACAAGAACAUAUUGGAGUUGGUGCAGCUUAUGCUGGUGCUGCCCAUUUCAGCCACCCAGUGUGAGUGAGGCUUCUACGCGCAGAACCAGAUUAAGAAUUCGACAAGAAGCUGCCUUGGGGGUCUCCACCACCGAAGACCUGAUGAGGAUCAGCCUGGAGGGGUCUUCUGGCCGCUGGCUGACAUCUUAGCGUGCCAGACGGCCAACAUACAAAAGCAGCUGGACAACUGAUAACCUUUGCGUCUAGUAGGCAUGGGUCAAUGUUUGAUUUUGGUGGUAUGUGCUGUUCCACAGAUGUGUGUCCCUUAGUACACGCAGUAUAAAUAUGUAUGUAAUAAAUUGUUUGUUAAUAAACUGUUACAUUUUU